GUAGCAUGGGAAGCCUUAGCCUGUCGGCGGCCUCUGGUGGCCAUAUUUGUCCUUGAGUCUUAGCUCUGGGUUCCAUCAUUCCCUUGAGGAAACACAGGUGUUUGUGCUUGGGAAGAGUGCACAACGCCACACCUUUGCUGUUUUUUCCACUCAUUUUCAUCAUUGUUCAAGGACAUUGCAGUUCUGGUUAUAUCCGUAAACAGGGAAGCCAAAGACAGGCAGAUACCAGAUAUACCAUAGGGGGCCGGAUGACACGGCCCUCAUGACCUCUGAAUGUGUCUGCUUUUCUGAAGCACACUUGUGUUUCCUCUGCACCUCCCAGGUGGUGUUGGCAUGAAAGGAAAGGAGGUAUCUUCGAGGGACAAUCUUCGCCUUGUGCGAUCCUCGGAGAUGCCACGAGGGCUCUGGACACAUGUGGUGCGGGCUCCUUUGGAGGCUGUUGAAUCCCUUCUGAAUGUGGCGUUGGCAUAAAAGGCAGGCUUGUAUCAUGGGGAAUGAUUGUCAUCUCGUAUGAUCCUUGGAGAUGGCAGGAAGCCCCUGGACACACAUGGUGUGGACUCCUUCAGAGGCGGUUGAAACCUUCCUUAAUGUGAGGCCAGAGACAGGCGGACAGCAAAUGUAUCGCAGCGGGCUGGAUGACAUGGCCCUUGGAACCUGUGCACAUGCCUGCCUUUCUGAUGCACGUCCGUGUUUUCUCUGCACCUCCCCAGUGGUGUUCGUGUAAAAAGCAGGCUCAUGUUAGCAAGGAAUGAUUGUCAUCUCAUUUGAUCCUGCGAGAUGGCAGAAGUCCGGGGCCACAUGGAGUGUGGGCUCCUUCGGAGGCUGAUGGAACCCUCCUGAAUGAGUUGUGGCAAUGGAAGUAAGGCCAGUGGCUACGAGGGACAGUCUUCAUCUUGGAAGAUCCAUCGAGAUGGCAGGGAGCCCCUUGACAAGUGGAAUCUGGUCUCCUUUGGUGCUGGUGGAUCCCACAGGUGGUCUGGCAUGGAAGAAGGCCACAGGCUACGAUGGAUGAUCUUUGUCUUGGGGGAUUCCUGGAGAUGGUGGGGAGCCCCUGAGCACGUGCGGCACAUGUGGCAUGAGCUUCUUCAGAAGCUGGUGGACCCCUCAGGAUGCUCGUCAAGGUUUUUCUAUGAGUUCUGUUAA
rnacentral:lncRNA from 1 species